GGGCUUGACAUCCCACGAACCUGGUGGAAACACCGGGGUGCCUUCGGGAGCCGCGAGACAGGUGCUGCAUGGCUGUCGUCAGCUCGUGUCGUGAGAUGUUGGGUUAAGUCCCGCAACGAGCGCAACCCUUGUCCUUAGUUGCCAUCAUUAAGUUGGGCACUCUAGGGAGACUGCCGGUGUCAAACCGGAGGAAGGUGGGGAUGACGUCAAGUCCUCAUGGCCCUUAUGUCCAGGGCUACACACGUGCUACAAUGGCCGGUACAAAGGGCUGCAAAACCGAGAGGUGGAGCGAAUCCCAUAAAGCCGGUCUCAGUUCGGAUUGGAGUCUGCAACUCGACUCCAUGAAGGAGGAAUCGCUAGUAAUCGCGCAUCAGCACGGCGCGGUGAAUACGUUCCCGGGCCUUGUACACACCGCCCGUCACACCACGAAAGCCAGCUGUACUCGAAGUCGCUGAG
rnacentral:rRNA from 1 species